rnacentral:lncRNA from 1 species
UUUUGUUUAAUAGGCUAUUUAAGCCUUCCUUUUCCCAUUCUCUUCUCCAAAGGCAGCCACUCAUCCCACUCAAAUGUACAGCCCCCAAAAUCAAAAUAUUAGGGUUCAUAUUCACAGCCAUGGAACCACCAUUUUAUUUGGUGGCUAUUGACGCAUGAACCACAACUAGACCUCACCAUCGAAGGCUCCACUCGAGGGAAUCUGGUAAGCCAAUUUAUUUUUCCUUUUUUUUUAAAAAAAUUUCCUAGAUCUGAUAUUGUUUGCUCAAGAAAAAUCAAACCGAAGUUGAGAACCUACAUAUUUAACAACAUCUGACCCUCACCCUUAUUUCAAUAUUUCAGAAAUAUUAGGGAUUUCAUUGGCGUCAUUUUGAGGCAUGAGGUCUAAUACUUUUAGAUUUCCCUUCCAACUUCGAUCUCAACGAAGUGAAAUAGAGGUCUAAAGCCGAUUCACAAGGUAAAACUCGACUUCUUUUUAUUCUAAAAUGCAGAAUGAUGAAGGUAAUUGCAAGGAAAAAAAGAAAUAAAAAAAAUAAGGGAACAAAUUGAAAAAAAACCCGAAAAAUCACCCUUCAAGAAAUUCUUUUCGAAAAUUUUUGUACUCUUCUCUGCGUAUAGUGUGCUUGCGUAAGUAUCUGUUUUGUGUGCGUAAAAAAUUAUGGAUUACAUCACUGGCUUUUAUAUCCAUAUUUCCAAAAUAAAUAAAAUCUAAAAAAUCCUAUUUUCCUAUUGUCAUUUGCUGUGAAAUCUGUUAUUGACUCCUUCUAAUGUCUUCUUUUGCAGUCUCAGUUGUACGGAGAAGAUGAUCCGGGGAUCUCGCGUGGAAAACCAUCCCUUUGGUAUUCUUCCAGUAUAUUCUAGGAGCUACUGCUGAAAUUCUCCUUCUUUUGGGUUCUUUUGGGUUUAGGCUAGGAUAUGGAUUUAUUAGAGUUGGGUUUUAGGACAUGGGUUAUUUUUGUAUUUUGAAAAUUGUAAAUGGACCUUUUUUAGUCUUGGACCUUAUUCAUUUAUUUGGGUUUAUUUAUUUGCAAAUAAAUUAAAUGGGCCCGGGCAAAAUUGGUUGACUACAGCUGCCCCUCUUUGCUCAUUGACGUGUAACGGGAAUAGAGCAAAGACUUCAAAAGAACCGAUUUUGCUUGGUCUUGUUAAUUUUUGGCUUUUUGGCGCUUCUAUUUUCCAAACACCUUUAGGAAGAUGAGGUUGAUAGGUUAAAUCUACUCCAUUAUCGAUACAUGGAAGAUAAGAUUCACCAUUUUCAAUCUACAGUCUGCUUUUUUGCUACCUCAAGAAAAUAAGACUCCCUUUUUAACCUGCUCUCUUGCCACCUCAGAGAAAUAAGGCUAGUGGUAAAAUCUACUCCAUUGCCGAUACAUGAAGAUAGGAUUCACCAUUCUCGAUCUGUUCCGCUGCAACUUCAGUGAGAUAAAAUCUUCAAUUCUCAUUCUGCUUCCUUGCUACCUCAGGAAAAUAAAACUCGUUCUUCAACCUGCUCUCUUACUACGUCAGAGAAAUAAGGCUUGGUGGUAAAAUCUGCUCCAUUGUCGAUACAUGGAAAUAAGAUUCACCAUCUGUAAAGAUCUACUCCGCUGCAAUCUCAGGGAGAUAAAAUCUUCAAUUCUCAGUCUGCUUCUUUGCUACCUCAGGAAGAUAAGACUCAUCUUUCAACUUGCUCUCUUGCUACCUCAGAGAGAUAAGGCUAAUAGCUAAAAUCUGCUCCAUUGCCGAUACAUGGAGAUAAGAUUCGCCAUCCUCAAUCUGUUCCGCAACUACCUAGGGAAAUAAGAUCUGUAAUCUUCGGUCUGCUUCCUUGCUACCUCAGGAAGAUAAUACUACAAUUUUCAACCUGCUCUCUUGCUACCUCAGAGAGAUAAGGUCAAUAGUUAAAAUCUGCUCCAUUGCCGAUACAUGGAGAUAAGAUCUGUAAAUUCCAGUCUGCUUCCUUGCUACCUCAGGGAGAUAAGACUACUAUCGUCAAUCUGCUCCAUUGUCGAUACAUGGAGAUAAGAUUUGUCUUUUCCAAUCUUUAAUCUUCAGUCCGCUUUCUUACUGCCUCAGAAAGAUAAGACUCAUUCUUCAACCUGCCCUCUUGCUACCUCAGAGAGAUAAGGUUGGUGGUAAAAUCUGCUCUAUUGCCGAUACAUGGAGAUAAGAUUCACCAUCUUUGAUCUGCUCCGCUACUGCUUAGGGUGAUAAGAUCUUCAAUCUUUAGUCUGCUCCACUGCAACUUUAGGGAGAUAAGACUUGUAUAUUGAGACUGUUUUACUGCAACUGACAUUUCAACCUGCUCCACUGCAACUUCAGGGAGGUAAGGUUUGCAAUCUUCGAUCUAUUCCUCCGCAACUUCAGGGAUAUAAGAUCUGACUUCACCGAUGUUACUACACCGUUUUCUCGAACCUGUCCUGUAGACUCGAUUUCAUGUAUCAUGUUUAUGCCAAAUAAUUAGGAUGUUAUGAUCAAAAUAAAUCAAAUGCUCCUAACUAGAUGUGAUGCUUAUGUCAACUAAUUAGAAUGCUAUGAUCAAAAUGAAUCAAAUGCACCUAACUAGAUGUGAUGCUUAUGUCAAAUAAUUAGGAUGUUAUGAUCAAAAUGAAUCAAAUGCACCUAACUAGAUGUGAUGCUUAUGUCAAAUAAUUAGGAUGCUAUGAUCAAAAUGAAUCAAAUGCACCUAACUAGAUGUGAUGCUUAUGUCAAAUAAUUAGGAUGUUGUGAUUAAAAUGAAUCAAAUGCACCUAAUUAGAUGUGAUGAAUGAUAUAUGAUUGCAAAAAAUGAAAAUGAUCUUUUUUUUAAUGAUCUUUUCUUUUUUCUUUUUCUUGGAAAAAAAUGCUUAAGGCAUCCUUGCUUGUUAUUCACCAGAGCCUUAUCACUGACUUAUUAUGCUGCUAUCUUGUUCGGCGGGUAUUCUUGACAGAAAACGCAAAGAAACAAUCACAUUCUGCUCAGCAAGCUUGCCCCGCUGUUAUUUCAGAGUCCCUUACACUUUAGUCUUCUGGGACAUAAAAUUUGAACUUCCCACUGUAACCUCAGGGGAAUAAUCAUUUGAUUUCUUCUAUCCAUCCUGCUAUAACUCAGAGGUAUAGGAUCUUCAAUUAAUUUGAUCUGUUACACCAUUCCCUGGGUAUAAUGAACAGAUGUAUAUGCCUGAUAUCUGUAUAAAUACAGAAUACCAUUUUCUUUCAAGAAUAACCCCAUUGCUCAUUCUUUGCCGGGAUUAUAACACCAAUUAAUAUCAUUGACAGAAAAUCCAAGGAGAUAAUCUCAUUUUAGGCUUUAAAUAUUUUCAACCCUUAAGCUUGGUGAGUUUUAAACAAUGGUCCUAUUUCAGGCUCCUGUAUUAUUUAAAAACUCCCUAAAGUAAUAUGCGAAACUUCCUUUAUGAAAGUAUUAUUAGUCCAAAAAUCGUUAUUUCAAUGCAAAAUGCUUGAAAAAGAUCAUAACCAUGGACAAGAAAGGAAUUAAUUGAAAACAUAGCUUGAAACAAACAAGCAAAUGCAACCAAGAAAGAAAUCUUUUAGGACGUGACCUGAAAAGAACAAGGUAAUCAAAGAUAACAAAAAAUGGGUAAAAAUGGAAAGCUAGGUGCCCCAGAUAUCGCAGCUUGAUCUUCUCUGUACCAACUUCUUGAGGACCAUUCUGAGCUCAAUCUGUGUUUAUGGGAUCUGGAGUAUUUGUCAAUGCCCCAAGACGUAACAUUCUUCUUUUAUUGUUAAUUCAGACCUAGCAAGACUAUUGUAUGCCCCAUUUUAAUCCAAAUCUGAGUCACCCUUUUCGGGUUUUCAACUCAAACCCCCUUUGGUCUCAAAGUGCCCUUUGCGGGUUUUCACUUUGGCCUCUCCUUUUUCUUUCUUUUUCAAUUUCUUUGAUUGAUUCUUUCUUUCUUUUUUUGAUUUUUUCUUUUUAUUUAUCUUUUUUAUUCUGAUUUUUUUUAAGGUCUCAAGGCGCCCUUUGCGGGUUUUCACCUUGGCCUCUCCUAUAGAACACUCUUUGACUGCAUUUUGAAUUCCCCGAACUGGGCAAAUCCUUUCGAUCAAAAACAGGCCUUCUUUACAUAAGGUCCCUUUUAGUUUGGCAUAUUUCUUCCUUUAAAGUCCUUUUGUAUAGGAAGGAUCUUCUUCAAUAAUAAACUCCCCUUAUGGAAUUCUCGAGGAUAAACCUGCAUCAUCCGAUUGCGAUGGCUAUCCUUUAAAUUUGACUGACCAUAUCAGGAUUGAACCCAUUCUAAUUCAUCUAACUUUAGUUGUGCCAAGACUCGAAGAAAAAGAACCUCGUCUUCAAAAACUGUUUCAGUCCUAUAAAUCAAUGUGUUGCCCCGGUAAAGGUUUCGGCCUACGUUCAAUAAACAUAGAGGGUAAAUGAUAACUUCUUUAUGCCAAUCCUUACAAGACUCAGUCAUUUUUCAUUAUGACUUUUGUUCUAUUAUUUGCUUUUCCUUUUUUCUAUUUUUGAACUUUUGUUUUUCUUUUUGGAUGCCUUUGCUGCACUGUGAUAUAUUGUUUGAUCUUUGAACAGAUUGCAUACUUUUGACAUUGGGCAGUUGUAUUUGAAAGUAAUCCUUUCUGACAUUACUUAUUAGCAACCUUUUUGUUUUUUUUGUUUUUUUUUGUUUUUUUUGUUUUUGGAAUUUGAGGACUAUUAGUCUUGUAAUAUUGACAUAUGAAGCGACCUUCACCCUCUUCAUGAAGUAAUCAAUGAUUGCUAAGAUAAAUCGAUGUAUAUUAGACGAGAAUGGCCUGAUAACAUCCUUGCCCCACAUAGAGAAAGUCUGUGAAGAAAUGAAUAAGACACAUGAAUCUUGUCUCACUAAAUACAACCCAACUAAUGCGAUCCCCUUCCAUGGUGAAUCAACAGUACCCAAACCUCAUGAUUAACGUGGCUACCAUAAAACCAUCUACAUGUGUCCUUCUGACGCCAUUUAGACAUUUUGUAUUAUCCACAGAUCUUAGUAUCCCAGGUAUAUCUUGACAUGAUCAUGCGAAAACAUCUUUGAAUUCUUAAAGUAACUCAAAGAUAAUUCAUUUUGUCCCUGUGGUGACUCAGGUUUCAAUCUUUGUCCCUUGUUCACAAUGUCCAUUGACCCUUCGUAAAGUAGGAUCUUUUUUCAUCUUGUUCUACCGUCCUUAAAAAAUCAGGAAAUAAGUCACAAUCUCUGUCAUCUUCAAAGUCCUGAAAUCCGAUUAAACACCUAUCUCACCCCAAAAGGGAGUCAGUUACAGCGUUGCUCAUGUCAUUGAUAUCUGGGGACCUAUAGUAGGUACAAAGGCAAAUUCUAAGGAUAUUUAUUUGUAUGGUAUGAUCGUGAAUGAAGAAUGAAAGCAUAUUUAAAAAGUAAAUAGUCCAAAGAACAAAAGAAUAUGUAAAGAAUGAGAGAAUAUUUAAAAAAGUAUGCAUUUUAUUGAACUAAAAAUUUUGGACACAAGCCUAUUUCACAAAAGGAUUCUUAUUGCCCCUAGGCUUAAGGAAACAAGAGUGUUUUGAAUAUUACUCUGGACUAGCUUUUAAAAAUACAGGGAUCUCUACCACAGUCCCUUUGCUCAAAACACCCCCAAGUACAUAAGGGCUUGGAAACCUUUAUUCCUUGGACCUCUCUUUGGAUAUGUCAUUCAAAUUCUCUUUGAUAAUUGGUGGUUAUAACCUUUGGCUGGCCUAUGUUGACCAAUUUGGAAGGCAUGCUCAUGAUGUUCACUUCAUUUUCCUUGUUUCCCGGAGUUGACCCUUUGGCGCUUUCUCCCAUAUCUAUUUUCCCAUUUCUUAUCGCACCUUCAAUCAUCUCACCGGACAUUACUAUAUCUAAAAAGCUCAGAGUAGCACUUCCCAACAUAUGAUUAAUGAAUGGGGCUUCCAGAGUAUUGAUGAAAAGUAUCGCAGUCUCCUUCUCUAAAAGAGGCGGUUGGACUUGUGUUGCUACCUCUCUCCAUCUUUGGGCAUAUUGCCUAAAGCUCUCAUUUUGCUUCUUUUCCAUGCUUUGCAAGGUAAUUCUGUCAGGUGCCAUGUCUGUUAUGUGACUAUACUGCUUCAUGAAGGCUUGUGCUAAGUCUUUCCAUGGUUUGAUUUUAGCACGACUCAAUUGAUUGUACCAUUUAGCUGCUGACCCGAUCAGACUGUCCUGGAAGCAAUGAAUUAAUAAUUGGUCGUUAUUAAUAUAUCCUGUCAUCCUUCGACAGAACAUUGUGAUGUGAACUUCAGGAAAACUAGUCCCAUUGUACUUUUCAAACUCUGGAGUUUUAAAUUUUAGCGGAAGUACCAGAUCGGGAACCAAACUUAGAUCUUUAGCGUCAAUCCCACAAUAGAAGUCAACAUUCUCCAUUGCUUUUAAUUUUUCCUCCAACCACCUAUACCGAUCCUCAAGUUGUCUUGGCAAUUCCCUCUCUGUUUUUUUCUAUUUUAUCUAGAUCAGGAACUUCAAGAUUAGUGGGGUUGCCCCCCGGAUUGGAACCUGAACCUAUCGGGUAAUCUACCAGUGCCGAGUUACCAGCCUGAUAUUGCUGAGUUCUGAUAAUAGGUACACCUUGCGGACCUGUCUGAACAUUUGUCGGGGUGAAACUUGGAGGGUAGAGAGGCUUUUUAUUGUCCCUCCCAGUAUUGAUCAUGGAACUUUUCUUUUCUUCAAGCCCCUUUUUCAGCAAUUGAGACAAUUGGUUCAACAUAUUCCUUUGAGACUCCAGGAUCAGAUCUCUCAUAUCUUGCCUAAUCUUCGCCAGUUGCUAUUGCAUCUGUAUUUGUAAUUGGUCUUGCAUCUCUCUUUGAAGUUGUUCAAGUCUUUGCAAUCUUUUGUCCAUAUCUUUUGUCUUAGCACGGGUACCGUAAUGACGCUUGGUUGGUAAGUUUUUAUUGGUUCCCAGAUUAACUGAAAUGAUUUCAACCAAUUAGGGACCCCUUUUAUGAAAAUUUAAUGCAAAUGAUAAAAUGAUGCAAUGUAAUGCAAAUGCAUGGGAUGGGUGCAAAAGAAAGGGAAGUGUUGAUUUUCAAUUUAAUUCCAUUAGAACAACUUUUCUAGAAAACAAAUCCCUUUACAUAAAACGGAUUACACAUACGACCUUGCUUUCAUAUUCCAAGCGAAGACACCGAUCCCUUUUCUUCGUGAAAUCCAAAUCUCGCAAACCUCUAAUAAAUGCCGCAUCUAGGUCUUCUUUGCUUGAUCCAGGCUAUGACUCAUUAUCCUCACUAUGUUGAUUAGCUCCAUUAAGAAAAUCAAGAUACGAUGGCUCUUGAACAAUCUUUAUUAGCUUGAAUCUUCAGGUAAAAACUUGUUUUUCUCCAUGAACUGGCAGCAUUCUUCCGUCAAUUCAGACAACUGUAUUAUAAUCCGCUUUAUCAGGAAAUUCAUUUUCUUAUGACAAACUGUUCUAUUUAGUAAUCAAAUAUGAAUCAACACCUCCUUUCUAUGAUGAUGUAAUGCAAUGCAGUUAUAAACAAAACAAAAACAAAACUCGUUAGUACAGGAGAAAUAAAUAACAAAUAAAAGACCUAUUCGGGUGACCACUAAAUUUGGGCAAGGUUCUACCUAAGGUGAACUCUCAAGGUUCGCUAUAUGUAGCUCGAUUCUAGAGAAAGGGUACCUGAACCAGCAGAUUCCUCAAUUCUCACCCAUUAUAGGCUCAUAUGAAUCGAGUUUGAUUCAGGGGAAUACAUUUCCCUAUGACCAUGCGGAGAUGAAAAUCUCACGAAAUCAUAGGUACGGAUAUAUCCCGGAAGCAAUCCACUAGCCCGUACGGAGGUGAAAACCUCACGAAAGCAUAGUUUAUUACUCCCACUUAACAGGUAUAAUCACAGCGGUCAUGCAAUACAAUGCCAUAUUAUUCUACAAGACUCAAACCAAAACAAUUAUGCAAACAGAUGCAAUUUAAAGGAAUCGUGAUCUUCAAAACAAAUUUUCAAUUCUUUGACAAAAGGACAGCAAAUAAUCAAUUUUAUGGCCUGACUCUCUUUGUUCAGUCCCCAGCGGAGUCGCCAAGCUGUCGAAACCCUUUUAUUUUGAAAGCAAUGGGGAUCGAAUUUUGAAAACUCAAAAAUGUGGAGUCGCCACCAACCUUUUGUUUAGGUGUGAUUGGAUCACCUAAUAAAACAUUUUAAAACAAUUCUGGUUCACAAAAAUUUAAAAAUGGGUUCGGGAGUCGGUUACGCAUGAGAAAGGGUUAGCACCCUCAUUACGCCCAAAAAUUGGUACCAAAUUGAUUUGAUGCUGUCCUUGUAAAAAAUUUAAAGGAAAAGAUUUUCCGAAGUAUGAUUUUUCUUAAAAAUGUUUGAAGAACUCAAAUUAGCGGUCAAAAAUCUCUCGUUCCAAGGACAUGCGGUUUCAUACCCAGUACGAUUGGAUAUGAUCCCUUAUACCUUUAAGGUACGAUCGAUUUUCGACUUUUGAAAAAUUCGUGCAUUAAAAUCAUAAAAGGUUAUCUAAAUAUUUGGUUCACCGGAAAAGUCAUACCCAGUACAAUUGAGCACGAUUUUCUGAAUUCUCCAAAUAUUAGAUAUUACCUUAUUUCAGAAUUUUUGAAUAACAGAAAAUUGAAAAUUUGCUCAAAAAAACACGUUUAUUUGCAUAAAAACUUGGGAUACAUGUUCAUUAAAUUGUUAUUACAAAAUACAAAGUUCAAAUCAAAUUAUAUAUGAAAUAUUUAAUACACAAAUCCAUUCAAAAAUUGAUAAUUCUCAUGAUAAAAUUAUGUACAGAAGAAAUUUAUGAAACAUGUAUAUACAAGUAAAAAUUGGAUAUAAUUAUUUGUAAAAAAAUGAAAUUAAUAAUGUAUGAAAGAAACAAAGUAAAUAUAUAAGUAUAUAGGUAACAAAAUAUAUAUAUAAUAAUGCAUAAGGAUAAUAUGGGAGUGUGUACAAUAAAUAAGUGGUAUGAUUAAAAACAUGGUUCCCAAAAGAAAUAUAUUGUACAUAUAAAUAUCUUUAAAAUAGGUUCUACACAUAAAAAAAUAUUUAUAUGAAGAUAUAUGAGAAUAAUAAUAUGUAUCAUAGUAAAAAUAAUUUAAUAUGUGUUAUACAUGUGAAGACACUUUAGAAAUAAUUGUAUAUUUAAGUAACAUGGAAUUAAAAUUUGAAUUAUAAAAUUAACUUAAUUUUACUGUGAGAUAUACAUACAAAGAAAUUUUAGAAAUAGUUGAAUGUUGAAGUAAAAAAAAAUUGAAUUUUAAAAUCAACUUAAUUUUAUUAUAUAUUAUAAGUUUACUAAAACUAAAAAACAGUUAAAUACAAAUUUAUUAGAAGGCUAUAUAUAUAUAAUAAGAACAACAAGGCUUUAAUAUAUGUAGAUUAAACAUAAAUACCAAAUAUACUUAAUAAACAUGUAAAUAUAUGGAUGAAUCUAAGAGAAAUUACAAAAUAUCAUGAAACUAAUAGUAUACACAAACUAAAAUGAAUUAUAUUACAAAUAGUACACCAAUUAUUAAAAUAAUAGAAUAAAAACAGAAAAGAUUACAAAAUUCGGCUAUCAAAAUAAUACAAAAUAUCACAAUCAAUGAUAAAGCAUGUAAAAAAAUGUAUGUGCAGUAAAAUAAAGAAAUAAGACUUAAUUGAAGCAAAAUUGAAACAGGAGAAACAAUUUACAAACAAAAUAAAAUAAAAAUUGGAUCAAUGUGCCAUGCGCACAAACAUGUGGGGGCUGGUAUUGAAAAUAUCCCGUGCUCAAAAUGCAGUAAUGAACCGCGGAUCCAAUUGAAAAACGCACAAACUAGCAGGCCAAUUUUAAAACAUAAAGAAGGCGAAUCGGGCGCAAAUUGAGGGCUCGCGAAAAGGGAAGGAUAUGUUGCACAAAUAGACCAUUUUAGGCACAAAAGGCUCCCCUCACCCUUCUUACACGGUACCGUUUUGUUUAAUAGGCUAUUUAAGCCUUCCUUUUCCCAUUCUCUUCUCCAAAGGCAGCCACUCAUCCCACUCAAAUGUACAGCCCCCAAAAUCAAAAUAUUAGGGUUCAUAUUCACAGCCAUGGAACCACCAUUUUAUUUGGUGGCUAUUGACGCAUGAACCACAACUAGACCUCACCAUCGAAGGCUCCACUCGAGGGAAUCUGGUAAGCCAAUUUAUUUUUCCUUUUUUUUUAAAAAAAUUUCCUAGAUCUGAUAUUGUUUGCUCAAGAAAAAUCAAACCGAAGUUGAGAACCUACAUAUUUAACAACAUCUGACCCUCACCCUUAUUUCAAUAUUUCAGAAAUAUUAGGGAUUUCAUUGGCGUCAUUUUGAGGCAUGAGGUCUAAUACUUUUUAGAUUUCCCUUCCAACUUCGAUCUCAACGAAGUGAAAUAGAGGUCUAAAGCCGAUUCACAAGGUAAAACUCGACUUCUUUUUAUUCUAAAAUGCAGAAUGAUGAAGGUAAUUGCAAGGAAAAAAAGAAAUAAAAAAAAUAAGGGAACAAAUUGAAAAAAAACCCGAAAAAUCACCCUUCAAGAAAUUCUUUUCGAAAAUUUUUGUACUCUUGUCUGCGUAUAGUGUGCUUGCGUAAGUAUCUGUUUUAUGUGCGUAAAAAAUUAUGGAUUACAUCACUGGCUUUUAUAUCCAUAUUUCCAAAAUAAAUAAAAUCUAAAAAAUCAUAUUUUCCUACUGUCAUUUGCUGUGAAAUCUGUUAUUGACUCCUUCUAGUGUCUUCUUUUGCAGUCUCAGUUGUACGGAGAAGAUGAUCCGGGGAUCUCGCGUGGAAAACCAUCCCUUUGGUAUUCUUCUAGUAUAUUCUAGGAGCUGCUGCUGAAAUUCUCCUUCUUUUGGGUUCUUUUGGGUUUAGGCUAGGAUAUGGAUUUAUUAGAGUUGGGUUUUAGGACAUGGGUUAUUUUUGUAUUUUGAAAAUUGUAAAUGGACCUUUUUUAGUCUUGGACCUUAUUCAUUUAUUUGGGUUUAUUUAUUUGCAUAUAAAUUAAAUGGGCCCGGGCAAAAUUGGUUGACUACACUUUCAUUCGUCAUUCAUAAUCAUACCACACAUAUAAAUGUUUCGAAUUCUUUUGAUUCUUUGUAUCUGCCUUCAUCUUCAUAACAG